UACAGAGGUCUCAACCGUUGUUCGGAUUCAUUGGGCGUAAAGGGUGCGUAGGCGGCGCGGUAAGUCGGGUGUGAAAUCUCGGAGCUUAACUCCGAAACUGCGUUCGAUACUGCCGUGCUUGAGGACUGGAGAGGAGACUGGAAUUUACGGUGUAGCGGUGAAAUGCGCAGAUAUCGGGAGGAACACCAAUGGCGAAGGCAGCUCGCUGGGACGGUACUGACGCUGAGGCGCGAAAGCGUGGGGAGCAAACAGG
rnacentral:rRNA from 1 species